UACAGAGGCCUCGAGCGUUAGGCGGAAUCACUGGGCUUAAAGCGUGUGUAGGCGGACUUCUAAGUACCUUGUGAAAUCCCACGGCUUACCCGUGGAACGGCUGGGUAUACUGGGAGUCUUGAGCCACCUAGGGGCGAGUGGAACAAAUGGUGGAGCGGUGAAAUGCGUAGAGUAUCAUUUGGAACGCCAAUGGUGAAAACAACUCGCUGGGGGUGUGCUGACGCUGAGACACGAAAGCCAGGGGAGCGAACGGGG
rnacentral:rRNA from 1 species